AGCUCACUGGUCGAGUCGGCCUGCGCGGAAGAUGUAACGGGGCUAAACCAUGCACCGAAGCUGCGGCAGCGACACUAUGUGUUGUUGGGUAGGGGAGCGUUCUGUAAGCCUGCGAAGGUGUGCUGUGAGGCAUGCUGGAGGUAUCAGAAGUGCGAAUGCUGACAUAAGUAACGAUAAAGCGGGUGAAAAGCCCGCUCGCCGGAAGACCAAGGGUUCCUGUCCAACGUUAAUCGGGGCAGGGUGAGUCGACCC
rnacentral:rRNA from 1 species